AUCUAAAUAGUUUAAUAUAAAAUUUUGAUUUGUGGUAUCAAAGAUAUAGACUUUAUUU
rnacentral:tRNA from 1 species